UUCCGGUUGAUCCUGCCGGACCCCACUGCUAUCGGGAUGGGACUAAGACAUGCUAGUCGUGCGCUUCCAAGCCACGGUGGAGGCGCGGCGCACAGCUCAGUAGCACGUGGCUAACCUACCCUUGGGACGGAAACAACCCCGGGAAACUGGGGCUAAUUUCCGAUAGGUGAAGACUCCUGGAAUGGAUCUUCGCCCAAAAGGCGUUUAGACCAUGCUUCUAAGCGCUGCCCAAGGAUGGGGCCGCGGCCGAUCAGGUUGUUGGUGAGGUAACGGCUCACCAAGCCUUUAACCGGUUCGGGCCGUGAGAGCGGGAGCCCGGAGAUGGGCACUGAGACAAGGGCCCAGGCCCUACGGGGCGCAGCAGUCGCGAAAACUUCGCAAUACGCGGGAGCGUGACGGGGCCAUCCCGAGUGCCGUCCGCUGAGGAUGGCUUUUCCCCAGUGUAGAUAGCUGGGGGAAUAAGGAGAGGGCAAGUCUGGUGUCAGCCGCCGCGGUAAUACCAGCUCUCCGAGUGGUGGGGAUGUUUAUUGGGCUUAAAGCAUCCGUAGCUGGCUGGGCAAGUCCCCUGUUAAAUCUAACGAUUCAAUCGUUGGAUUGCGGGGGAUACUGCUCGGCUAGGGGGCGGGAGAGGCCGACGGUAUUCCCGGGGUAGGGGUGAAAUCCUAUAAUCCCGGGAGGACCACCAGUGGCGAAGGCUGUCGGCUAGAACGCGCCCGACGGUGAGGGAUGAAAGCUGGGGGAGCGAACCGGAUUAGAUACCCGGGUAGUCCCAGCUGUAAACGAUGCAGGCUAGGUGUCCGGGCGGCCACGUGCCGCUCGAGUGCCGCAGGGAAACUGUUAAGCCUGCCGCCUGGGGAGUACGGCCGCAAGGCUGAAACUUAAAGGAAUUGGCGGGGGAGCACCACAA
rnacentral:rRNA from 1 species